UCCGAGAAUCCCAAAAGGUGCACAUUUAAACACACACGCGAAGCAUCCAAGCACAUGGACCAACUCUUCUCUCACCUUUCCACUGAUUUCCCCAACGCCGGCUUCUUAAGGGUCGAGGCCGAAUAGCAACCUGAGGUUUUCGAAGCUUACUCCGUCUCCGCUGUUCCUUUCUUUGCCUUCUGCAAGCACGCUUGAAUCUCUGUAUUCUGAAAGUUUGUCCCUGUGGAGAGGUGCAGAAAAUUUCACUACUUGCUACUGCUUGCUACGUAUUCAAUUAGUUUAUAUAUCUUUGUUAAUGUUAAAUUUUAUGUCAUUUUUUAUUGCCACCUUGUCAUUCUUUUGUUGGUGAGGCACUCUGAUGCUUUAGCAUCCAUCAAGAAAUACAACAGUAUGAGUGAUGGAAAGCUAUUGCAAAUUGAGUUUGUUGGAACAUAUGCAUGUUCAGCUACUCCGGUUGUCACGCCUUUGUCAAACUAACUUAAUGGGUAGACCAAAUGAUGUCCAUUUAAGGUGUGAAAUUCUUAUUCUUGA